ACUGAACGCUGGCGGAAUGCUUUACACAUGCAAGUCGAACGGCAGCACGGACUUCGGUCUGGUGGCGAGUGGCGAACGGGUGAGUAAUACAUCGGAACGUGCCCAGUCGUGGGGGAUAACGUAGCGAAAGCUACGCUAAUACCGCAUACGAUCUACGGAUGAAAGCGGGGGAUCGCAAGACCUCGCGCGAUUGGAGCGGCAGAUGGCAGAUUAGGUGGUUGGUAGGGUAAAGGCCUACCAAGCCGACGAUCUGCAGCUGGUCUGAGAGGAUGAUCAGCCACACUGGGACUGGGGCACGGCCCAGACUCCGACGGGAGGCAGCAGGGGGAAUUUUGGACUAUGGACGCAAGUCUGAUCCAGCCAUUCCGCGUGCAGGAUGAAGGCCCUCGGGUUGUAAACUGCUUUUGUACAGAACGAAAAGGCUCUGGUUAAUACCUGGGGCUCAUGACGGUACUGUAAGAAUAAGCACCGGCUAACUACGUGCCAGCCGCCGCAGUAA
rnacentral:rRNA from 1 species